rnacentral:tRNA from 1 species
AGGCGCGUAGCUCAGCUGGUUAGAGCACCAUCUUGACAUGGUGGGGGUCGUUGGUUCGAGUCCAAUCGCGCCUACCA